rnacentral:rRNA from 1 species
UACGUAGGGGGCGAGCGUUGUCCGGAUUUAUUGGGCGUAAAGAGCGUGUAGGCGGCCCGGUAAGUCCGCUGUAAAAGUCCAGGGCUCAACCCUCGAAUGCCGGUGGAUACUGUCGGGCUAGAGUGCGGAAGAGGCGAGUGGAAUUCCUGGUGUAGCGGUGAAAUGCGCAGAUAUCAGGAGGAACACCGAUUGCGAAGGCAGCUCGCUGGGACGUAACUGACGCUGAGACGCGAAAGCGUGGGGAGCAAACAGG